rnacentral:rRNA from 1 species
UGAACGCUGGCGGCGUGCCUAAUACAUGCAAGUCGAGCGAACAGAUAAGGAGCUUGCUCCUUUGACGUUAGCGGCGGACGGGUGAGUAACACGUGGGUAACCUACCUAUAAGACUGGAAUAACUCCGGGAAACCGGGGCUAAUGCCGGAUAAUAUUUAGAACCGCAUGGUUCUAAAGUGAAAGAUGGUUUUACUAUCACUUAUAGAUGGACCCGCGCCGUAUUAGCUAGUUGGUGGGGUAAUGGCUUACCAAGGCAACGAUACGUAGCCGACCUGAGAGGGUGAUCGGCCACACUGGAACUGAGACACGGUCCAGACUCCUACGGGAGGCAGCAGUAGGGAAUCUUCCGCAAUGGGCGAAAGCCUGACGGAGCAACGCCGCGUGAGUGAUGAAGGUCUUCGGAUCGUAAAACUCUGUUAUUAGGGAAGAACAAAUGUGUAAGUAACUGUGCACGUCUUGACGGUACCUAAUCAGAAAGCCACGGCUAACUACGUGCCAGCAGCCGCGGUAAUACGU